rnacentral:rRNA from 1 species
UCCUACGGGAGGCAGCAGUGGGGAAUAUUGCACAAUGGGGGAAACCCUGAUGCAGCCAUGCCGCGUGUGUGAAGAAGGCCUUCGGGUUGUAAAGCACUUUCAGUAGGGAGGAAGGUAGUGUAGUUAACACCUGCAUUAUUUGACGUUACCUACAGAAGAAGCACCGGCUAACUCCGUGCCAGCAGCCGCGGUAAUACGGAGGGUGCGAGCGUUAAUCGGAAUUACUGGGCGUAAAGCGCAUGCAGGCGGCCUGUUAAGUCAGAUGUGAAAGCCCGGGGCUUAACCUCGGAAUUGCAUUUGAAACUGGCAGGCUAGAGUCUUGUAGAGGGGGGUAGAAUUUCAGGUGUAGCGGUGAAAUGCGUAGAGAUCUGAAGGAAUACCAGUGGCGAAGGCGGCCCCCUGGACAAAGACUGACGCUCAGAUGCGAAAGCGUGGGGAGCAAACAGGAUUAGAUACCCUGGUAGUCCACGCCGUAAACGAUGUCUACUUGGAGGUUGUGGCCUUGAGCCGUGGCUUUCGGAGCUAACGCGUUAAGUAGACCGCCUGGGGAGUACGGUCGCAAGAUUAAAACUCAAAGGAAUUGACGGA